UACGAAGGGGCUAGCGUUGUUCGGAAUUACUGGCGUAAAGCGCGCGCAGGCGGUUCUUCAAGUCAGUGGUGAAAGCCCGGAGCUCAACUCCGGAACUGCCAUUGAAACUGUGGAACUUGAGGAUGAGAGAGGUGAGUGGAAUUCCAGUGUAGAGGUGAAAUUCGUAGAUAUUGGGAAGAACACCGGUGGCGAAGGCGGCUCACUGGCUCAUUCUGACGCUCAGGCGCGACAGCGUGGGAUCGAA
rnacentral:rRNA from 1 species